AACGAACGCUGGCGGCAUGCCUAACACAUGCAAGUCGAACGAGACCUCCUGGUCUAGUGGCUCACGGGUGCGUACCGCGUGGGAACCUGCCCUUAGGUUCGGAAUAACUUCCCGCAAGGGGUGGUAAUACCGGCUAAUGUCUUGGGUCCAAAGAUUUAUCGCCUUUGGGUGUGCUCGCGUUGGAUUAGCUAGUUGUUAGGGUAAAAGCCUACCAGGGCGACGAUCCUUAGCUGGUCUGAGAGGAUGAUCAGCCACACUGGGACUGAGACACGGCCCAGACUCCUACGGGAGGCAGAAGUGGGGAAUAUUGGACAAUGGGCGACGGCCUGAUCCAGCAAUGCCGCGUGAGUGAUGAAGGCCUUAGGGUUGUAAAGCUCUUUUACCCGGGAUGAUAAUGACAGUACCGGGAGAAUAAGCUCCGGCUAACUCCGUG
rnacentral:rRNA from 1 species